UUUAAAUCCCAAUAAAAUAAAAAGAGAUCUUGGUCACAUGGAGGCAUGUGAUGAUGAGGAUGGGAAUGGCUUUGUAAUAUUCAUUCUCCAGCUCUUUCUUUUUCCAUAACUAUAUAUGCACACAUAUAUAUUUAAUUUCCAGUAAUUGUUUCUUCAUUUCUUUUAUAUAUGUAAAUAAUUUUCAAUUUUUUUUUUGUUUUUUUUACCGUAUUAUAUAGAAAAUAUUAUUAUAGUACCCCACAACGCACUCAGUAGGAAAGAAAGGCAUUUUGUGGGUAAAAUGUCUUAUGACUAACCCUACUCAACCCACUCUUUUCCACCCUCCCUCUCUAUAAAGCUGAUAGACAGAUUAUUUGUUGUAGAGUGCCAGUGGUCCUUGAGAGACCUUUGUAUGAAGGGGUAUGGCCUUUUUUUUCCAACCUCUCUCUCUCUCUCUCUCUCUCUCUCUCUCUCUCUCUCAUAUACUAUACACUGGCUAGCUGAAAACUACAAAGGCGCACAAGAAGGGAUGUUGACUAGCACCAUGGAAGCUCAAGAAAGCUGUGGGAGACCAUGGCAAUUCUGGACUUAACCAUUUCAAUUUCCCUACAACGUUCGCUGCAGACAACAUGAAAAAUGAUUUUGUCUUUUUCACCAUAGAUCCUGGUAAUUCUCUCACUUCUAUUUCGUAAUUCGAACGCAUUUCGUCAAAAUAUUUUCUUUCAGAAUUCUUUCAUAAUUAUAUGAGACCGUAUUAGUUUCUUCUUAUAAUUUGAAUAUAUUUGUAUCAAAUAUUGUUCUUUAAUAUGUAAAUAUACACAUGGGACCCCUCUAAUGAAACUGUCUUUGCAUUUUAUCUGAAAAAAAUUAUCUAAUAAAUGAAUUUUGAUACUGCUGAGUUACAAUGUGGGUUACAUUUUACAAAAAAAUUACAAUGCACGUGUGUAUGAGAUGCACCGUAUAACAGAUGACGGGAUUUUGACAUUUUCAAUCUUGCCGCUCAAGCACCCGUGCAUCUCAUACACCGGUGUACUGUAGGAAAGCCCUAUAAUUUAAAUUCCCUUCUCCUUAAGGUUUGAGUUAGAAUUGUGUACUUGGUAAGAGGGUACUUGCUGCCGCAGUAGACAAACCCCAUAAGGUAUGCUGCUGUAGUAGUACAGAUGAAAUGAUGAAGAUGAAAUUCAGUGAUUUUUGUGCCAGUAUUUUUUUUUUUUUAACCUAAAACUUUGUUAUAUCUACUAGCGCACGUUUGAGCCAUGCAGAACGGUAAUUUUAAAAUGUAUCCUUUUCUUGUUGUCUUGUACAUUUAGGUGAAAUUUCAAUUUAAUUUAAAAAAAAUGUUCCCCUGCUGAUUCAUUCAAUCAAUAUGGUGAAAAAAAUGAGUUUGUGCUUCAGAGAAGAUUCCCAUACCCUUUCCUUUUUAUCAAUAAUGAUGACACUUCCCUCCCUUCCUGCAGUUAGCCUUUUGAUUUUCCUUCCACAUCUUCUCCUACAUUUCUGUGAAAAGGGUUAAACUUUGUCCCUGUCUGACAUAGUUUUUUAACCACAUCAUCUCAUUCUUACAUCAGUAAUCAGUUUUAUUUCUCUCUCUCUCCCCCUCUCCCUCUCUCUCCCUCUCUCUCUCCCCCCCCCCCCCAUUUUCUCUGUCUCUCUCUCUGUCUCCUUCUCACACUCACUUUUAUGAAUUUAUAUUUGUACAGAAGAAUAGGGUUGUCAUUGGCAUUACACCUACACAAUUAUGCUUCCCUUGAUCCAAGACUCAAAUUAAACCGUAAAUAAAGUUUUGAUGAAAAAACCAGUGUUUUUUCUCUUCAUUGUAACCAGCCGCACUGCAUGAAGCUUUCGAAAAUUUUACAAACGUUUCUGCAAUUAUACAUGAGCUUUUUCGGUCUCCAGUGAUUAUCCACGCUACGCUAGCAAGCUAGAAGAACCAAAACAAAUUUGGCAGUCUUGAAACUAACAGUGAUUGGAGUGGUUGUUUAGGCCCUACUUUAUAUCUGUAUAUCACUUCAGUAAAGUACUCAUAUUUUUUUUUUCAAUGAGUUUAUUUUAUCUAUCUGGUACAUCAUACAUGACUAGGGGAUUUUCUAAUAUACACUGGUGUGUAACAUCCACCGACGCUCAUGAUUGUAGGAUCCUUGGUUGCGCAUCUAACACCCUAUUCAAUUUUGUUUGCCAAUUGUCAUGCAUACACCGAAGCAUAGUACAAUUUUCGUUUCAAUAGUUCAAAAUAUUUUAGUAAGUUGAUCAACUAGUUAGCUGGCUUUAACUUUUGUCAUCAACACAUUACACUAUAUUUGGUAAAAACCCUUUGUUCCUUUUUUCUGUCACAUUGCUUCAUAUGUACAGUUUCAGCAAAGUAUAUUUUCAUUGGCUAAGCUUGGUUACAUCUUCAAUUACAAGUUGAAUACGACCAAUUCAGCAACUAUAUGAUAUUUGGCAAAUUGAAAUCGAUGGUAAUGAUGGAUGCAACAUAUACUACUAGCAUAUAUUGAGCAAUUUGUAACAGCAGAAUGAUGAAUCGCAAUAAAGUUAGCUGUCUGUGCAGUGUUGACGAGCACCA